UGUAGAUCCUUCACUGCAGCCUGAGUAAAAGAAAGUUGUGCAGAAAGUGAAGAUUGGGACUCCGCAUGCAUUAUCAGUGCAUGUACUUAUUUGUAAAAUAAUGAGUGGUUUGUUUGAGUUUGUUUUAUCAGAUAUAUUGAGUCCCUUAAACUGUUGUCUUAUGGUACAGAAAAACCCCAAUCUAUUAACCACCUUUGGGUUGAGGAUCAUUUUUCCCAGUUUCUUAGAAUUUGUUUGAAUAUGCAGAUGAGAAUGUGGCUUGAAGAAGGGUCAUUGGACCGAUCACUUCAGACACGUCAUCAUCAGGUCUACAGUACAGUCAGCAUGAAGACUCUCAGCCUGACGACACAGAGUGAGACAGGGGGAGGAUAUCAAACUCAUAUAAGUUCAUGGUCAUGAAGACCAAUGCUGAUCUCAGAUCCCGUGGACCCGUCCCUGUUUUCCCGGUGAAGAUCCUUAGUUGUGGAUGACUGGAGAGUGGCUGGUAGAGAGCAGUGAGUGGGCGAAGAAGCGCAAGUGUUUUCCCUUGUCCUCCCCACCUUGGAUUCCCUGGAGCCCGGACCCCUGUCACACUUGUAUAUAGCAAAAUUCCCUGCACUGUCUGUAAAUACACCUGUGAAUGUGAAAUAAACCUCACUGUGUCUUCUG
ensembl:lncRNA